CCUCCUUUCUAAGAGAAUUUUAGGAUUACUUCUAAAAUCUUUUUAAAUUAAUCACCACCUUCACAUUCCUUUAUUUAAAAUUUCCAUAUGGGCUAGUAGCUCAGUUGGUUAGAGCACACGCUUGAUAAGCGUGGGGUCGGAGGUUCAAGUCCUCCCUGGCCCACCAGUUACGAGGGGGCGUAGCUCAGUUGGGAGAGCGGUAGCUUUGCAAGCUAUAGGUCGUCGGUUCGAUCCCGUCCGCCUCCACCAACUUGUUUGCCAUCAGAGCUUUUUUUGAAUUGUGAAUAAUUAAUAUCAAGUGAUAUUUGUAUUUUAUUACAAAUUUUAUUUUCACUCUUUUUUGUAUAAAAAAAGUUUGAGAGUUCGAUAAAGUAUGAAAAGGGCGUUUAGUGGAUGCCUUGGCAUUGAGAGGCGACGAAGGACGUACACGCUGCGAUAAGCUUCGGGAAGUUGCGAGCAAACUUGGAUCCGAAGAUU
rnacentral:misc_RNA from 1 species